rnacentral:rRNA from 1 species
AAAAAGAGGGGGAAGAGGGUGGGGGAUGGCGGAGGGGGCAAUAGUAAAUCGGAAGUAUUGGGAGAAAAGGGGGGGUAGGCGGAGUGAUAAGUCAGAUGUGAAAUACGAAAGCUCAACUUGGGGGCUGCAUUUGAAACUGUCGCGCUAGAGGGUUGACGGAGAAAGGGGAAGUCCACGUGUAGCGGUGAAAUGCGUAGAUACGUGGAGGAACACCGGUGGAGAAAGCGCCUUUCUAGUUUAGACCUGACGCUGAGGCGCGAGAGCAAGGGGAGCAAACAGGAUUAGAUACCCUGGUAGUC